rfam:Bacillus gaemokensis strain JCM 15801 contig4, whole genome shotgun sequence.
CCUGUGGAGUGUUAUACCAAACGAAAGUAGCCCCGGCAAAAUCGGACACGUAGAAGCAGGAA